UUGGAGGGCAAGUCUGGUGCCAGCAGCCGCGGUAAUUCCAGCUCCAAUAGCGUAAAUUAAAGUUGUUGCAGUUAAAAAGCUCGUAGUUGAAUUUCGAGAUCAAAUUGUUGGUCGUGCCUCGGUACGUACUGGCAUUAUUGAUUUCUCCCUUCUGAAGAACCUUGAUGUCAUUAAUUUGGUGUCUUGGGGAAUCAGGACCGUCACUUUGAAAAAAUUAGAGUGUUUAAAGCAGGCUCACGCUUGAAUACAUUAGCAUGGAAUAAUGAAAUAGGACGUUUGAUUCUAUUUUGUUGGUUUCUAGGAUCGACGUAAUGAUUAAUAGGGAUAGUUGGGGGCAUUAGUAUUCGAUUGACAGAGGUGAAAUUCUUGGAUUUAUUGAAGACGGACUACUGCGAAAGCAUUUGCCAAGGAUGUUUUCAUUAAUCAAGAACGAAAGUUGGGGGAUCGAAGACGAUCAGAUACCGUCGUAGUCUCAACCAUAAACUAUGCCGACUGGGAAUCGGACGAUGUUAUUUUUUGUGACUCGUUCGGCGCCUUACGGGAAAC
rnacentral:rRNA from 1 species